rnacentral:rRNA from 1 species
AGAGUUUGAUCCUGGCUCAGAACGAACGCUGGCGGCAGGCUUAACACAUGCAAGUCGAACGAGAAGCCACCUUCGGGUGGUGGACAGUGGCAGACGGGUGAGUAACGCGUGGGAACGUGCCUUUCGGUUCGGGAUAACCCAGGGAAACUUGGACUAAUACCGGAUACGCCCUUCGGGGGAAAGAUUCAUUGCCGAAAGAUCGGCCCGCGUCGGAUUAGCUAGUUGGUGGGGUAAAAGCCUACCAAGGCGACGAUCCGUAGCUGGUCUGAGAGGAUGACCAGCCACACUGGGACUGAGACACGGCCCAGACUCCUACGGGAGGCAGCAGUGGGGAAUAUUGGACAAUGGGCGAAAGCCUGAUCCAGCCAUGCCGCGUGGGUGAAGAAGGCCUUAGGGUUGUAAACCCCUUUCAGCGGG